rnacentral:rRNA from 1 species
UACGAAGGGGGCUAGCGUUGCUCGGAAUCACUGGGCGUAAAGGGUGCGUAGGCGGUUCUUUAAGUCAGGGGUGAAAUCCUGGGGCUCAACUCCAGAACUGCCUUUGAUACUGGAGAUCUUGAGUUCGGGAGAGGUGAGUGGAACUGCGAGUGUAGAGGUGAAAUUCGUAGAUAUUCGCAAGAACACCAGUGGCGAAGGCGGCUCACUGGCCCGAUACUGACGCUGAGGCGCGAAAGCGUGGGGAGCAAACAGG